rnacentral:misc_RNA from 1 species
GAGGCAAGCUAGACACAACAACAAUAAUAACCCUUUCCCUCAAGAGUUCGAAGAUAAGCAAGAUAAGGAAGAUGAGAAUAAUGAUGAUCAGACUUCAAUCAUAAAUGAGGAUAGAUUUUAUCAGAGUAGAGAAAGGCAUGAAAGAAGGCCGAGGAGAGAUGACAGGGGUAGAGAUGGUAUUGAUCGAAACAUUGAGAGCAUCAAAAUGA